UUUCCGUAGGUGAACCUGCGGAAGGAUCAUUACAGAGUUCAUGCUCUCACGGGUAGUUCUCCCACCCUUGAAUAUUUAUACCUUAGUUGCUUCGGCAUGCCGUGGAAACACCAUGGGCGCCGGCCUAUGCGUCCCUGCCAAAUGAAACAAACUCUGUAUUUAGUGAUGUUUGAGUACUAUAUAAUAGAUAAAACUUUCAACAACGGAUCUCUUGGUUCAG
rnacentral:misc_RNA from 1 species